CACACACACACACACACACACACACACACACACACACACAGGCCCUCUAGGUCCCUAGUGGUCUGUGUGAAGUGCAAACGUUAAACUAUCUUGUCAUCAUGAAGACACCUCCAAUCUUGCCAACUAUUGUCUGUCCACAAUGACUUGGCCAUUGUUCUUAAGGCUCCCACCUAAAGGUUCACAGACAAAAGUCUGCCAAGUAUUUUCUUCAUUGACGGUUGUCUUUCCUUAGCCUCAUCCUACUGGAAAAGAGUCUAAGAGUAGUUAGAUACUGUAGUUUCUUAUGGUUGGGGGUCACCACAACAUGAGCUCUUUAUAUUAAAGAGUCGCAGCAUUAACACUGGUACCUCAAGGUUGAGGUCUCUCCACCAAGGGCAACUCUGUUCCAGUCACCCAGGCUAAUACCCAGCCCAAACCGCUGCCACUGGUCAAGUUCAGUCCAGCACAGACCCUUGAGUCACCGGUGGUCAGUCAGAUGACCUUGGCUCCUGCGCGGGCCUGUGUUUCCGGAGCUUCACCGCAGCACUGCUGGCCCGGCGCUGUGAAUGCGGGCUCGUGAGCGCGCACUGCCCCACCAGCCCACAGCGCCCGCCCGUGGGCCGCGUUCGCUCAGGGUGCGCUCGGGCCAGUCCCGCCUCUCCUAGUUUUCGCUUUCGCUUUUUAUAGCUUCUCUGAAGAGAAACAAAGCGGCAGCUACGACGGCUACGACGGCCACGACCGGUAAUGGUGUUGGAGGGAAGGACAGGGGAACUCCGCAGCCUGGACCCCAGGCCCACAGGAGAGGUGGCAGCAUGCCCCGGCCCUCCUGCUGAUGUCAGGAGGCUGGACAGCCAAGAAGGAAGAAAAUGGACUCCCUCCUUCUGAAGACUCGCCAGCUGCCAUGCAAUGGUGGACAGCACCUCAAGCUCACCCCACAAUGCACCUCUGUGGAGACACCAUCAGUGCCACACUCCUUGUUCUGCCACAGCUGUGACCAACAAUAAGAGACAGAGACAACUACAGAAAGUGAGGAAGGACAAUCUGUGACAACUUACGUCAUCGGUGGUGUGAGAAUGGGGGCCGGAAGAAGCCAUAGUUCUAUGUUGGGGUUUGGUCAGGUCACUUUUGCCAUUCAGCGAGCAUGGACCGUGUGCCAAAAACUGCUAGACGCAAAACAGCUGUGAAGGUCUAGACUUGUCCCUACCUGCCAGAGCACCCAGACACUUCAAGCAGACUGGCCGACGGCGCCAUGAUCCCUGAUUUUACCUACUGUGGUGAACACAUCAACUGCCAGACAUCAUUGGUGCCCUCUGGGGGUUCACCUCUGAAUGCACCCCACAUGUCUUGGGGUGCUAGAUGCAACCGUGGAGGGAGAAUAAAAGCAGCUUUCUAGGGAUGGAAUCCUGAGUCUGCCACGAACCCACUGGGUGACCAUGGGUGUGUCAGGUUGACAGCCAGGAUCAACCAUCGCUUCUGCCUCACGAAUGAAGAUUCUGAGGCUGCCAGCAGGGCCAGUAGGCUGGGUGAGGCCGCACAGCUAGUUAGAAGACUUCAUGCAGAUCCGGUUGGUAUCUAGGUGACUUCCUUUAUGUGCCUUCCUUGAGCCAAAAUGGAUCCCCCUAGGGAAGACAGCUAAGCACUGGAGACAAUUUAUUACCAGUUAAGUGUGGCCACAAGCUGUAUCCUGGGAGUUCUUAGCCAGGUUAUAGGUGUGUCUGUCUGUCUAUCUGUCUGUCUGUUUGUCUGUCUGUCUGCCUGCCUGCCUGCCUGCCUGCCUGUCUGUCCUAAGGGCCUCAGUUUACGGGUGCUCACCCAAAGACAAUGAAGAGCCAGGACUUCCAGUCACUGAGGGCUUGGUCAGGGAGGCCAAGAGACGGUGGUUUCCUAUAGGCGUGUCCUUCAGAGGUGCUGUUUCAUGAUAUCCUUCUUGGCCUAUCUCAGGCUUCGAUUUUCCCAGAUGGGAUGGGGUGUUUUACUAAGUCUCUGCAUCCCCGAGCACCCUGGACCCCAGUACGGAGAUACGCAGGAUCUUCUCCCUGGCCAUCUCAGGGUUCAUUUGAGAGGUAACGUGUUUGUCCUGUGAUUCUGACUCCAGCCAAGGUCUGGGUCCUAGUACAGCCACAACCUCCCUUCUAGAAGCUUCUGAGUGUCAGUUUCCUGUUACCACUGUAAGAGAUGUCCUCCUUGCACUCCGUGGCCUAGAUUAGCACACAGUUAUGAUUCUGAGGGUCCAAUGUACAAAACAGGUCUCCCAGGGCUAUCCUGAGGGUGUAGAGCAAACGUGGGGCUCUAGGAAGCAGCCCCUGGGCAAGGCAACACACACCUGUAAUCCCAGCCCUCAAAAGACUGAGGCGAGAUUUUCUAAGGUUGAAGGCCAGGCUGGUCUAUAUAUGGAAGAAUGAGUUCCUGCCUCAAAAAAAAAUUUUUUUAAAUCCCCUUCAUGGUCCAAUUUUAAAAGGCUUCCUCCAUUCCUUAGUUCCGUGGUGCCGUCUUCUAGCUUCAAAACCAGCAACAGAUGGUCCUUUUACUUAAUGUCGUGUCUCUGAUUCUAUCACUCUUAUCUCCUCUUUCCCACUUAGAAGAACCCUUGUAAGCAGCUGAGUAUAGUGAUGUAUGCCUUUAAUCCCAGCACUCAGGAGUCAGAGGCAGGGGGAUUUCUGUAAGUUCGAGGCCAGCCCUGUCUACAGAGUGAGUUUUAGGACAUCCAGAGCCACCUAGUGAGACCCUGUCUCGAUAAACAAACAAAUAAAUGGAACUUCAAACCUUUAAGUUUUGAGAUAGGGUGCUGUACGUCAGCUCACACUGCCUUCAACUCACCGUGUAGCCUAGCAGAUCUCGACCUUAAGAUACCGCAGAGCAGGGUGAAUGCAGACUUUCAAUGGGUAAAGGCACUUAAGCCUGAUGACCUGAGUUCUAGGCCCCAGGACCCACAUAGUGGGAGGUGAGAAACAACACCAAAGUUGUCCUUUGAUGCCUACACACAUGCAGUGGCACAGCUCCCCACCCCACCCCCAACAAAAAUAAUUUAAAUGUUUUUUUCUAACAUCCUCUUGAGCCUUUAGUCUCUUGAAUAAUUGAGUUUACAGGCCCAUACUUCCAGACCUAGACGCCUCUCUAUUUCAAAUUAAACUGAUUAGCAAACCCCAUCCCUUGUUGCCACAGAACAUAGCGAAGUCAUGGGUUCUGUGCAUUAGAAUGUGGGUAUCUUUACUCCACCAUGGACUGUUACUCUGCCUACCACAUUCAGCCACUCCUCCAGGUUUUCCAAACAUCUCAAGCACAGACAGUGGACCAGGCCAGACCACAGGUGGGAUAUGCCUGUCAUUGUGUAGUCCCUCCCCCCUGCUUCCUCCUCCUUUAGCUCAGCCUGUCCUGGGCUCCUCUCCCAUCCUCCUGUUCCCAGUUCUUGGAAGGGAGAGUGUAGGGCUGGACAAUGGGAAAAGGAGUGUGCAGAUUGGGGAGAGGAAGGCAGGGUCAGAUGUACCCCAGCUGUGGGAGCCCAGAGGGCUUGGCCUUUCCUACCAAAUACCUGUACUUUGCAGAGGUGCCCGCCAGUGCCUUGCCCGAGUUCUGCAGAAUCUGAAGGCAGCUCUGGCCUGAUAGAGCAGCAGGAAGAUAUUAGAGGCUCCAUUGUAUAUCCCUGACUUCCAUGAUAACCAGAAUCUCCUGAGCCCUUUCUCAGGGGAUGACAGCCUGUUUGCCUUCAUUCCUUCCUCUUCUGUCCUUUGAGUCAUAGGCUGAGCUGGAUAUCCUAGCUAGGCCUCUGUUGGCCCCUUAGUGGGAGAGAGCAGAGGCAAGAAAGGCUAGAUGAGGCCUUACCCUCAAGGAGGGUAAGGAGAUGGCCCUAGGACCUUCUCUGAUGAACUGGAAAUCUCAAAUCCCAGGGACCAGCUCUCCAUUUCUGAGUAAACUGAGACCCUUAGUGUCCUGUCUCUUUUGCACCCCCAAGUCUGCUUCAGUCACGUCUGCUUCCUGUAUGACCAGCCCUUUGGAGCCGAGAAUGCUAGAAAGAUGAGGUUGGGAGUGAGGUAUCUUCCACCUGUGCCUGAAUGGCACAGCAGUCUUGGCUGCACGCAUGAGCGAAUGACACAAUGUGCUUGCAUCAGAACUUCUGAAAGUGUAACGCCCUGGUCACUUCCGGGUGCUGUUCUGCAGAUGCCUUUAAUAAAUGUUUUUAUUUCCUCAUA